UGGGGAAUAUUGGACAAUGGGCGCAAGCCUGAUCCAGCCACGCCGCGUGAGUGAUGAAGGCCUUCGGGUCGUAAAGCUCUGUGGGGAGAGACGAACCGCCAGGGGUUAAUAGCCGCUUGGCAUGACGGUAUCUCCUUAGCAAGCACCGGCUAACUUCGUGCCAGCAGCCGCGGUAAUACGAAGGGUGCAAACGUUGCUCGGAAUUAUUGGGCGUAAAGCGCACGUAGGCGGUUUUUCAAGUCGGAUGUGAAAGCCCUCGGCUUAACCAAGGAAGUGCAUCCGAAACUGAAAGACUUGAGUACUUAAGAGGAUCGCGGAAUUCCCGGUGUAGAGGUGAAAUUCGUAGAUAUCGGGAGGAACACCAGUGGCGAAGGCGGCGAUCUGGGAAGAUACUGACGCUGAGGUGCGAAAGCGUGGGGAGCAAACA
rnacentral:rRNA from 1 species